AGUGAAUGCUGGCGGCAUGCUUUAUACAUGCAAGUCGAACGGAGAAGAAUUUUUUGUAGCAAUACAGAAAGUUUUUUUAGUGGCGAACGGGUGAGUAAUAUAUAGGAACUUACUCAAUAGUGGGGGAUAACAGUUGGAAACGACUGCUAAUACCGCAUAUUCCCGAGAGGGGAAAGGUAUUUAUAUCGCUAUCGAAGAGGCUUAUAUCUGAUUAGCUAGUUGGUGAGAUAACUGCUUACCAAGGCAAUGAUCAGUAGCCGGUCUGAGAGGAUGAUCGGCCACAUUGGGACUGAGAUACGGCCCAAACUCCUACGGGAGGCAGCAGUAGGGAAUAUUGGACAAUGGACGAAAGUCUGAUCCAGCAAUGCCGCGUGAGUGAUGAAGGUGUUAUGCAUCGUAAAGCUCUUUUAACAGGGAAGAUAAUGACAGUACCUGUAGAAUAAGCACCGACUAACUAUGUGCCAGCAGCCGCGGUAAU
rnacentral:rRNA from 1 species